AGUCACAAAAUUGACGUUUCCGAUGAAGGUAACAGAAUUUCGCGGUUAGAAGUACAACUUGAUUGUAUUUGAUAGUGAUUAUCUAGCUAACGCGCUGAUUUGUUUUUCACAAAUGCAUUCAAACCAAAAAAUAUCGUUGAAAGAUUUUUGAUGAUAGUUGUAGUUGUAGGUUUGAUGGUUUUAAAAAAGGCAUUUUUAUGAGCUUACACUAAAUAGCAUUCACUGGUCUUGUCAGCUCAAUUUUGGAAUUGUUUUUCUUGUAGUCUAAGGACAACCACUUCUAGGAUGGAAGAGAUUAGUUUAUAUAUACUCACUUGGAAUGUGUCAGUCAAUGAUCCACCCGAUGAAGAAACCCUGAAAUGUUCGUUAGGGUUGGACUCGUUCGAACUUCCUGAUCUCUUCAUUAUAGGUUUGCAAGAGGUGAGCUCCAAUCCUGUGGACAUGGUUGCUAAUACCAUUCAUGAAGAUCCUUGGACACAAGCCUAUAUGGAUCUUCUGAUGAAAUAUGGUUUCGUAAAAGUGAGAACGAAAAAGCUGGUUGGAAUUUCGCUAAAUGUAUUCUCUUUGAGGAAACACGUGCCAAAACUUCGACACAUCAAGGAAGAUCAUUUUAAAACUGGGGUCGGUGGGUAUUGGGGAAACAAAGGUGCAGUCGGAAUUAAAAUGGAAAUUGGAGGAUACUCGUUUGUGUUUCUAAACGCUCAUCAGGCCGCCCAUGAGGGCACCUACUAUUUUGAGAAACGAUUAUCCGAGUACAAAUCGAUUACUGAACGAUUGGAUUAUUUAUUAGAUAAGAGUGCUAAAAGUGUGACGUUCUGGUUCGGAGACCUGAACUAUCGGUUCAUCGUGGAGCAUACAAACGAAAAGGCCCUCUCGGAGGCGGGGCGUGACUCGGCUGUGAGCAACGGAGUGGACAGUGUGGCGCUCAGUCAGAAGGAUCGGUUCAAAAUGGUGGUCAACCACAUAGCUAAACGAAACUUUGCGGGGUUGCUGCAAAUCGACGAGCUGCACAAAGCCUAUGCCAGCGGCAAGGCCUACGAAGGUUUCAUCGAGAAGCAACCAAAUUUCGCGCCCACUUUCAAGUAUGCGAAGAACUGUGAUGUUUACGACGAAAAACGAAUUCCGGCUUGGACUGAUCGAAUAUUGUACAAAACGCAAGGAAUUCCGUACUGUGACCCGGAAGCCAUGAGCAACAAAACUAGUCAAUGUAUUUGCCAGACGGAGUACGAUAGCAUCACAAGUAUAGCUUUAGGAGAUCACCGACCUGUUUUCAGUCGGUUCAAUGUUAGGCUCAAAGACACAUCGAAUUGUGAAUUGAGCGUAGCGUUUGAUGAGAUAGAAGAUUGGACGUUAGGCAUUUCUAAUACUGUUACCUGCUCAAUGAUCACUAAUGGAAGUGAUCACAACCUGAGAAUCUUGGGCAACGACUGGAUAGGCAUUUUCAAGGAAGACGUGUUCUCAUGUCUGAACAACUACGUGACGUACGCGUACGUGAACGACUCUAUAGUGGAGGAGCGGAUCGUGGAACGCGGUAAGAAGCGGAUCGAUCUGAAGUUCCUGGACUCGCUGAUCUGUUCGCCCGGUCGUUACAUCAUGAUCUACUUCCGCAGCAGCAUCGUCCUGCACGACAACUUCCGGAUAGAACGCGUUAAGGAUGUUCUGGGAGUCAGCGAUCCGUUUGUGGUCAGGAACUCCCGCGAUCAGAUGCAGGGCGGCUGUACGUUUUAUGUAUUGGGGCUGAGUCGAAUUCCGAACUAGAGGCUGCGUGACUUGAUGAUGAGAGUAUUUUAGAUUCGAUCCUGGAGGCUUCCAGGGCGGUAGCUUUGGUGAAAGAUGUAUCCGUUGAUUGUAGAAGCUGCUCUUGAAUCCAGUCAUCUUUCAGGCCUCUGAUAAAUUCUGCACGGAGGAAUGUAUCUGCGAUUGAUAGAGAUUCAUUACAGGUACAUAGCACGUUAAAGUCAAAGUCGACAAUAUCCCGUUGAAGAGACGCAACAUACUCAGGUAUAUUUUGAUAUUCCUUUCACUAAAGCUGGGGUUUUGUUUGUGCGUAAAUGCCGUCGUCGACCACGACAGGGUGAGGAUCUCAGUUUGGGUGGAUUUUUAUUUGUCUAGAUAACCUAAAAGAUUAUGUUCAUUUAUGUUUUAAUGUGGGAGGUUGAGUUUAUACAUUUUUAUUCUUUCAAACGGCAAUAAGAUGAUAUUAUUAUAAAUGUUUUCAUUAUUGAAUAAUAAACACAAAUUAUGAAAAGUUUUUUGAUCAGCUAUUUAGCACACUUAAAAUUUGGACAGUCUGAAUGUCAACAAUGCUUGUCGUCGUCGACUGCGGGAGUUUACGCACAAACGAAAAUGCACCUUUAGUGUUGAGGAAGUAGUGUUGUGAAACUAUCGUGCUUUUUUCAGAUACGAGCAUUUGUGUGAAUGCUUUGAUCAGAUCUUGGUAAGCUAGACUGUUUAUUGGUUUUUAUGAACCUAGUAUUGCUGACAAAUUGUUGUAGUGAACACAACCAAUAGAUCAACGUCAUCUGUUAUACGGGUCUUUCUAAAUGAUGGACCCAUUUUCAAAAAAUGGUAUUUAUUAAAGUAAAAAUGCAAAAUGGAUAACCUUUAAACCUAUCGAAAGAGAAAGUUUCAAAGUUUUUUUUAAUACCUUACAAGUGUUGAAUGUGGCCUCCGGCUGCUGCACGGCAAACAUCUACGCGGUAGCCAAACUCGUCCCACACGCGAGAAAGCGAGGGUCUUUCUAAAUGAUGGACCCAUUUUCAAAAAUUGGUAUUUAUUAAAGUAAAAAUGCAAAAUGGACAACCUUUAUACCAAUCGAAAGAGAAUGUUUCAAAGUUUUUUUUAAUACCUAACAAGUGUUCAAUAUGGUCUCCGGCUGCUGCACGAUCUGCGGAACCGUAUCACUGCUGCCGUGCACUCAAUAACACCAGAUACGCUUUCUCGCGUGUGGGACGAGUUUGGCUACCGCGUAGAUGUUUGCCGUGCAGCAGCCGGAGGCCACAUUCAACACUUGUAAGAUAUAACAAAAAAAUUUGAAUUUUUCUCGUUCCAUUGGUAUAAAGGUUGUCCAUUUUGCAUUUUUACUUUAAUAAAUACCAAUUUUUGAAAAUGGGUCCAUCAUUUAGAAAGACUCAGUAUUUUCCAUUGAAAAUAGUUCUAAAUAAUUUAUAAACUUUUCGUUGUCUGAAUUGAAGUUCUCAAAAGGAUUAAGACUAGACUUUCCUGAUUUGGUUGAGGCUGUAUAUUCUAGAUGCGUGUUGUGAGAGUUGACAGAAACUGGCUGAGUUGAGCUUGAUCCAUGGUUGAAGGCCUUGAAUUUGGUAGGGGUCACUUGAAGAAAACUUUCACUGCAUUGAAGAAUUGUCUUUGAAAAAAGAGUAAUAUCCAUAAAAAGUCUUUGAAUCAACUUUUACCUCGUCUUAGAUUCUUAGAUUGGCAUUGGUAAUGUUGAGUGUCUCAAUUUGUAUUGUACUUAUAACUUCUAUAUGUAAGGGUAUCUUGGUAUUAGAUCUUUUAUGAUAAUAUGAAUCUCUGUUAUGUGUUUUUGAUUAUUAUUGUUGGUUGUUAUUUUUAUUUUUAUAAAUACUUGUUACAAAAUGUUUAGUUUAGUAGAUUGUAUACAUAUCAGUUGUUUAUUUUUUAUGUGUAAAGGUCAACUGAUGAUUUGUAUUUAUUCUAGGAGAAUCUAGAGGUUGAUAUUCUAGAGUUAGACAGUUAAGGAUGUUGGAAUUCUCCAUUUCUAUGAUUCGUUAUUACUGCAUGCAUCUAUACUUGUGUACUAUGGACCUGGGUUUGCAUAUCUAUUUCUAACCUACCUCACGUCAGAAUGAUAACUUUUUACAACCACAGUUAUGGAGGAAACCGCAAAAACUAGUUCAUUGUAGCAUUCUUCUUUUCAAGCCCAAAAAGAUGAUAAAUUAUAUUAGUUAUAGGUAGUACA
rnacentral:misc_RNA from 1 species